UAUUUGUUGAAGACUGAAAUCAAUGCAUAUGUUUUCUUUCAAAAUAUUACAGGUUCAGAGGCGUUAAAUGCAGGAAAGAAACCGGAAGUAGAAAACAAGGGAAACCAGCCUUUGUACAUCGUUGGAGUCGUCGUUGUAGCAGUGGCAAUGGUUGUCAUUUUGGUUGUGAUGUCGAUAUAUUUCAGAUCAAAGAGGCGACAAAAUGGACAGUCUAAAAUUGUGUAAAUAAAUAUCUUGUGACUCAUGAACUCUAUUGUUUUAACUGAAACAUGAACAAAAAUUGCUAUAUGAAUAAUUGUAUUUUAUAUCUGAUGAUGAUGUUUAAUUUGUGUUUGAAGUUC
rnacentral:lncRNA from 1 species